rnacentral:rRNA from 1 species
GUGAAGAAUUUUCCGCAAUGGGCGAAAGCCUGACGGAGCAAUGCCGCGUGAAGGAUGAAGGCCUAUGGGUUGUAAACUUCUUUUCUCAGAAAAGAAUUAUGACGGUAUCUGAGGAAUAAGCAUCGGCUAACUCUGUGCCAGCAGCCGCGGUAAGACAGAGGAUGCAAGCGUUAUCCGGAAUGAUUGGGCGUAAAGCGUCUGUAGGUUGUUUAAAAAGUAUUCUGUCAAAGAUUAGGGCUUAACCCUAGAUAGGCAGAAUAAACUUUUAAGCUAGAGUUUGGUAGAGGCAGAGGGAAUUCCCGGUGGAGCGGUGAAAUGCGUAGAUAUCGGGAGGAACACCAAAGGCGAAGGCACUCUGCUGGGCCAAUACUAACACUGAGAGACGAAAGCGAGGGGAGCAAAUGGGAUUAGAAACCCUAGUAGUCC